rnacentral:lncRNA from 1 species
GUGGCUUCCAACAUGACGGCUCCUUGCACCUACAACAAUUUCAGUGAAAAGGCAUAAAUUGCUUGAUAUAUUGAACCUUCAUAAGGGGUCACCAAAUAAAGGCCAAGAUAGCAUGCUAAAAAGAGUGGUUGUUGAGGACGAUCAUUUCCAAAUGAUAGCAUUUUCUUGAUCAUGUUUUACACAUGUAAUUGCAUAUGUUUCACCCUACACCAUAUAUAUUGGUGGUUGGCCUUAUUAUUUGAGUUAAUUGCAUAAAUAAUCAAG